rnacentral:rRNA from 1 species
GAUGAACGCUGGCGGCGUGCCUAAUACAUGCAAGUCGAGCGAACAGACGAGGAGCUUGCUCCUCUGACGUUAGCGGCGGACGGGUGAGUAACACGUGGAUAACCUACCUAUAAGACUGGGAUAACUUCGGGAAACCGGAGCUAAUACCGGAUAAUAUAUUGAACCGCAUGGUUCAAUAGUGAAAUACGGUUUUUCUGUCACUUAUAGAUGGAUCCACGCCGCAUUAGCUAGUUGGUAAGGUAACGGCUUACCAAGGCAACGAUGCGUAGCCGACCUGAGAGGGUGAUCGGCCACACUGGAACUGGGACACGGUCCAGACGCCUACGGGAGGCAGCAGUAGGGAAUCUUCCGCAAUGGGCGAAAGCCUGACGGAGCAACGCCGCGUGAGUGAUGAAGGUCUUCGGAUCGUAAAACUCUGUUAUUAGGGAAGAACAAAUUUGUAAGUAACUAUGCACGUCUUGACGGUACCUAAUCAGAAAGCCACGGCUAACUACGUG